rnacentral:rRNA from 1 species
GAUGAACGCUGGCGGCGUGCCUAAUACAUGCAAGUCGAGCGAACAGAUGAGGAGCUUGCUCCUCUGACGUUAGCGGCGGACGGGUGAGUAACACGUGGAUAACCUACCUAUAAGACUGGGAUAACUUCGGGAAACCGGAGCUAAUACCGGAUAAUAUAUUGAACCGCAUGGUUCAAUAGUGAAAGACGGUUUUGCUGUCACUUAUAGAUGGAUCCGCGCCGCAUUAGCUAGUUGGUAAGGUAACGGCUUACCAAGGCAACGAUGCGUAGCCGACCUGAGAGGGUGAACGGCCACACUGGAACUGAGACACGGUCCAGACUCCUACGGGAGGCAGCAGUAGGGAAUCUUCCGCAAUGGGCGAAAGCCUGACGGAGCAACGCCGCGUGAGUGAUGAAGGUCUUCGGAUCGUAAAACUCUGUUAUUAGGGAAGAAAAAAUGUGUAAGUAACUAUGCACGUCUUGACGGUACCUAAUCAGAAAGCCACGGCUAACUACGGG